GACGAACGCUGGCGGCGUGCCUAAUACAUGCAAGUUGAGCGCUUAAGGUUGGUACUUGUACUGACUGGAUGAGCAGCGAACGGGUGAGUAACUCGUGGGGAAUCCUCCUUUUAGCGGGGGACAACAUUUGGAAACGAAUGUUAAUACCGCAUAAAAACUUUAAACACAAGGUUUUAGAGUGAAAGAUGCAAUUUCAUCACUCUAAGACGAUCCCUCGUUGUGUUAGGUAUUUGGUGAGGAAAAGGGUCACCAAGGCGAUGAUAGAUAGCCGACCUGCCAGGCUGAUGGGCCACAUUAGGAAGGGGACAGGGCUCUAACUCCUACGGGAGGGGGCAGUAGCGGAUCGUCGGCAGUGGAGGAAAGUCUGAACGAGCAACGGCGUGUGGGUGAAGAAGCUUCACGGAUCGUAAAACUCUGUUGGUGGUGAAGAACGUUGGUGAGGGUGGAAAGCUCAUCAAGUGACGGUAACUAGCAAGAAAGAGACGGCUAACUACGUG
rnacentral:rRNA from 1 species